rnacentral:rRNA from 1 species
UACGUAGGGGGCUAGCGUUGUCCGGAAUCAUUGGGCGUAAAGAGCGUGUAGGCGGCCCGGUAAGUCCGCUGUCAAAGUCAAAGGCUCAACCUUUGAAUGUCAGUGGAUACUGCCGGGCUAGAGUCCGGAAGAGGCGAGUGGAACUCCUGGUGUAGCGGUGGAAUGCGCAGAUAUCAGGAGGAACACCGGUGGCGAAGGCGGAUCUCUGGGCCUGUCCUGACGCUGAGGCGCGAAAGCUAGGGGAGCGAACAGG